rnacentral:rRNA from 1 species
ACUACGGGUGGCAGCAGUGAGGAAUAUUGGUCAAUGGGCGGAAGCCUGAACCAGCCAAGUAGCGUGCAGGAUGACGGCCCUACGGGUUGUAAACUGCUUUUAUACGGGAAUAACGCGCCUUACGUGUAGGGCUUUGCAUGUACCGUAUGAAUAAGGACCGGCUAAUUCCGUGCCAGCAGCCGCGGUAAUACGGAAGGGCCGGUCGUUAUCCGGAUUUUUUGGGUUUAAAGGGAGGGUAGGCGGCAUGUCAAGCGUGCUGUGAAAUGUCCGGGCUCAACCCGGGCCUUGCAGCGCGAACUGGCGUGCUUGAGUCCGCUGAAGGCAGGCGGAAUUCGUCGUGUAGCGGUGAAAUGCUUAGAUAUGACGAAGAACCCCGAUUGCGAAGGCAGCUUGCUGCAGCGGAACUGACGCUGAUGCUCGAAAGCGCGGGUAUCGAACAGGAUUAGAUACCCGUGUAGUC